rnacentral:rRNA from 1 species
AUGGACAGCAUCGCAUGCCAUGAGAGAGCCAGAGCGUUCAAGGUGUUUAAAAAUGCUAAGAACCGUGAAACCUUCAUCACUUCUGCUGCCGAGGAUGAAGAGAGUGCGGUCAUGUGGCGUCGGAGCGAAAUGGCUGAGUUGCCUACCUAG